rnacentral:rRNA from 1 species
CCUACGGGGUGUUGCAGUGAGGAAUAUUGGUCAAUGGACGAGAGUCUGAACCAGCCAAGUAGCGUGAAGGAUGACUGCCCUAUGGGUUGUAAACUUCUUUUAUAUGGGAAUAAAACGUUCCACGUGUGGGAUUUUGUAUGUACCAUAUGAAUAAGGAUCGGCUAACUCCGUGCCAGCAGCCGCGGUAAUACGGAGGAUCCGAGCGUUAUCCGGAUUUAUUGGGUUUAAAGGGAGCGUAGGUGGAUUGUUAAGUCAGUUGUGAAAGUUUGCGGCUCAACCGUAAAAUUGCAGUUGAAACUGGCAGUCUUGAGUACAGUAGAGGUGGGCGGAAUUCGUGGUGUAGCGGUGAAAUGCUUAGAUAUCACGAAGAACUCCGAUUGCGAAGGCAGUUCACUGGACUGCAACUGACACUGAGGCUCGAAAGUGUGGGUAUCAAACAGGAUUAGAUACCCGAGUAGUC